ACUUUCAAAGGAUAGCAGUGAUCCAAUGGCCUUAGGAGCCAGUGACCUUGGUGCAAAUCCAAGUGAAAGUA
rnacentral:tRNA from 1 species